CGAAUGCCUCUGCAUUUUUGUUGUGUCACAAAGGCAGGAUCUCCUUGAUAGCCUUCAUGCCAUAGACGUUAGUCUCUGUGAUAACCUUUAUGCCAUUGAGGUUGUAGUUUAUUGCGUUCUUAAUUAUGCAUCCAAAGGGAAUCUUGGUGUUUCCUCCUUACCCUAAAUGCCCAAUUCACAAAUUAAAAUACCAAGAGGAGAAUCAA
rnacentral:lncRNA from 1 species